AUGAAGUGGCGCCAAGCUUCUGGCAUUCUCUGUGACAAGAGAGUGCCACAAAAGCUAAAAGGCAAGUUCUAUAGGACGGCGGUUCGACCCGCAAUGUUGUAUGGCGCGGAGUGUUGGCCGACUAAAAGGCGACAUGUUCAACAGUUAGGUGUGGCGGAGAUGCGUAUGUUGAGAUGGAUGUGUGGCCACAUGAGGAAGGAUCGAGUCCGGAAUGAUGAUAUACGAGAUAGAGUUGGGGUAGCACCAAUUGAGGAGAAGCUUGUCCAACAUCGUUUGAGAUGGUUUGGGCAUAUUCAGCGCAGGCCUCCAGAAGCUCCAGUGCAUAGCGGACGGCUAAAGCGUGCGGAGAAUGUCAAGAGAGGGCGGGUUCGACCGAUUUUGACAUGGGAGGAGUCCGUUAAGAGAGACCUGAAGGAUUGGAGUAUCGACAAAGAGCUAGCUAUGGACAGGGGUGCGUGGAAGCUUGCUAUCCAUGUGCCAGAGCCAUGA
rnacentral:rRNA from 1 species